CCGUCUGUGCUAUUGGCUCUGACCCGAGCGCCUCUCCGUGGUUAAUACAUUGAACCUCCCAGCCAGGGGCAGAGGCGGCCUGGAGAAGGGAAGUGACUUGCCCAGGAACACACAAGCUGCCCAGAGCAGAGCAUGGUGGGUGCGGACGAGGAUCCUGACUGCACCAUUCGGCCUCCCUCCGCUGCAGGGCUACGGCAAGACACAGGCGUCUGCAGCUCCUGGGAGCAGGGCCUCUCUCCGCUGUGGCAGUGCAGAGCCAAGCACAAGGGGGUCCUGGCCCACACCUACAGCUCUUCACUGCUACUUCCAUAGCCGUAAGACUCUCAGAAGUCGCACCAUGACCUGGAUUUUCACAAGCGCCUCCUUCCCCUUUUCAAAGGGCACCGGCCCCAAGGCCAGAGGAGAUUCGUCCCAGGGCUUUCACUGACAAGAUCAAGCAGCUGGAAGAAGGAAGAGACUGAUUAGCAGCAAAGCCCAGGGUGAGCCAAUGCUCAAGGACACACGGCUGCUUCGUCUCUGACAGCGGUUGUUAAGGGAUUUUGGGGGCCUGAUCACGGCCGUGCUAUCCCUGAAAGCAGGGGAAAGCCAAUGGCCCUGUUUGACAGACAGGGUCUCCAAGGCCCAUCUAGGAGCUGACACACUUCACCAGAGCAAUAUCAGGGGAAUCCCGGGCUGGGGAAAGGGGCUGGGGAUAGAGGUGACCUUGCCUGGCCUGGCCUCAACCUGGUACAUUUUAAACAAGGAUCUCAAAGCACUUUAUAGCCACUGCUAUCCAUUGAGCAGGGCGUGCUUACCACACCCCCUCCUUCUACGAACGCGCGUGGAAUGGUGCGCGGCCCAGGACAGCAAAUGUAAGAGGACACAUUCUGGGCGCGGCUCAUGGUGUGAAACCAGGUCAGGAGUUAAAGCUAGUUCACCAGAGGAUCAGAACAGGGUAGGAGCAGAGCCUUGCAUCGCUGCAUCACACUCAUAAUCCACAGCAUGGCUGAAGGGGGCCAGUAUGAGGCCUAUGCCAGGGGGUUUAAGUGAUGCCUAGGCCGAGCUCCGGCCUAGGACAGACGUGUGCGUGGCUGGCUCUGGCCGGCCGUUCUCGAACCCAACGAGCUGGGACACCAGCCAACAUUUCAAAGAGGAGCCGUUUUUAAAAAAGCAAAGUGAAGAUUUUACAUUAAAAAAAUACAUAGAAAAUUCAGUAGCCCCUUGAAGUGUUUCUGUAUCUAAAUUAGAGGAUAAAUUCAAUCUUCACAGGGGAUACAAAGGAAUUCGGAUCCUGAUGC
rnacentral:lncRNA from 1 species